UGAUAACUUUCAAAACUUCAGUUCAAGACUUCAAAGAAGUUAAAUAAAGAUUGUAGGGCAUGGAAAUAAGGAAAGAUGGACAAAAUGCUGUCCUAAUGGUGAGUGCCAGAUGGCACAGGGUUUUCAGAAGUUAAACUGAUGACCUGGAAAGUAAACUUGGAAGUAGGAGAGUUAGGUCUCCUGGAAGAUGCCUGUAGAUUUGCUCAGUUUGUCUCUUGAGAGUGACUGAGGGCAAGCAAGGCUUAAGCUGUGGGAUCUCACUGGUUAUAGAGUGCUGGGGAGAGGGCCCCUUGAAGGAAAAAUACCUCAGUCAUUAACGUAAAUCCCUUUAUU
rnacentral:lncRNA from 1 species